GACGAACGCUGGCGGCGUGCUUAACACAUGCAAGUCGAACGGAAAGGCCCUGCUUUUGUGGGGUGCUCGAGUGGCGAACGGGUGAGUAACACGUGAGUAACCUGCCCUUGACUUUGGGAUAACUUCAGGAAACUGGGGCUAAUACCGGAUAGGAGCUCCUGCUGCAUGGUGGGGGUUGGAAAGUUUCGGCGGUUGGGGAUGGACUCGCGGCUUAUCAGCUUGUUGGUGGGGUAGUGGCUUACCAAGGCUUUGACGGGUAGCCGGCCUGAGAGGGUGACCGGCCACAUUGGGACUGAGAUACGGCCCAGACUCCUACGGGGGGCAGCAGUGGGGAAUAUUGCACAAUGGGCGGAAGCCUGAUGCAGCAACGCCGCGUGCGGGAUGACGUCCUUCGGGUUGUAAACCGCUUUCGCCUGUGACGAAGCGUGAGUGACGGUAAUGGGUAAAGAAGCACCGGCUAACUACGUG
rnacentral:rRNA from 1 species